rnacentral:rRNA from 1 species
CACGGGGGGAGCAAGCGUUGUUCGGAAUCACUGGGCGUAAAGGGCGUGUAGGCGGUUCGGUAAGUGGAAUGUGAAAUCCCUCGGCUCACCCGGGGACCGGCAUCCCAUACUGCUUGGCUUGAGUACGGGAGAGGAUGUGGGAAUUCCUGGUGUAGCGGUGAAAUGCGUAGAUAUCAGGAGGAACACCGGUGGCGAAGGCGCACAUCUGGCCCGAUACUGACGCUGAGGCGCGAAAGCUAGGGGAGCAAACGGG